GGAAUCUUCCACAAUGGGCGCAAGCCUGAUGGAGCAACACCGCGUGAGUGAAGAAGGGUUUCGGCUCGUAAAGCUCUGUUGUUAAAGAAGAACACGUAUGAGAGUAACUGUUCAUACGUUGACGGUAUUUAACCAGAAAGUCACGGCUAACUACCUGCCAG
rnacentral:rRNA from 1 species